GCCAGGCAUGGUGGCGUGUGCUUGUAAUCCUAGCUACUUGGAGGCUGAGGCAGGAGAAUUGCUUGAAUCCAGGAGGCGGAGGUUGCAGUGAGCCGAGAUGGUGCCACUGCACUCCAGCCUGGGUGACAGAACGAGACUCUGUCUCAA
rnacentral:SRP_RNA from 1 species